UUUUUAAACUGUCUUGGAUCAUUCCAACCUGGUUACAAAGAAUAGGCAGCACCUAAACAGACACAAAUGACAUUUCACUCUGCACCCUACAAUGCAUUGUGGCACAUUUUGUCUUUGCCCCAUAUUGUAUCUGUUAAAAUGAAUAAGUGCACGUACAGUAUAAAUACAGUGAAAUAGUAGGUAGGAAGUGUCACUAAUGAUCUCUUGGGAUUUUGCUUUUUAGGGAUCAUUUCAUCAAUCAAUAUUAUGUUGAUUAUGAUAUUGGACAUCUGAGGGACAUGGCCCACUUCAUUGUAAUGGAUGCCUAUAGGAAACAACUUGAGGAGCUGGAGAUCACGCUUUAUGGCAUCCAUAAAGUCCUGGCUUUAUCGGAACAGGAGCAUGACGUGGAGCAUAUUUUGGACCAAUAUGAAGAGACGCAGCAAGCCCGGCGAGUAAGUUUCCUGCCCACUUUUACUAUUUCAGGAGAUUUUUAUGGGUGUUUUGUUGCUGAAUUCUGAAGGACACAGUUAAUGCUAGUC